rnacentral:rRNA from 1 species
AUUGAACGCUGGCGGCAGGCCUAACACAUGCAAGUCGAAUGGUAACAGGAAACAGCUUGCUGUUUCGCUGACGAGUGGCGGACGGGUGAGUAAUGUCUGGGAAACUGCCUGAUGGAGGGGGAUAACUACUGGAAACGGUAGCUAAUACCGCAUAACGUCGCAAGACCAAAGAGGGGGACCUUCGGGCCUCUUGCCAUCAGAUGUGCCCAGAUGGGAUUAGCUAGUAGGUGGGGUAACGGCUCACCUAGGCGACGAUCCCUAGCUGGUCUGAGAGGAUGACCAGCCACACUGGAACUGAGACACGGUCCAGACUCCUACGGGAGGCAGCAGUGGGGAAUAUUGCACAAUGGGCGCAAGCCUGAUGCAGCCAUGCCGCGUGUAUGAAGAAGGCCUUCGGGUUGUAAAGUACUUUCAGCGGGGAGGAAGGGAGUAAAGUUAAUACCUUUGCUCAUUGACGUUACCCGCAGAAGAAGCACCGGCUAACUCCGCG